rnacentral:rRNA from 1 species
AAACUGGAGAGUUUGAUCCUGGCUCAGAACGAACGCUGGCGGCGUGCUUAACACAUGCAAGUCGAACGUGAAAGGCUUCGGCCGAGUAAAG